UAUAAGUAAAUGAAUAGUGCC
rnacentral:siRNA from 1 species